UAUGUGCGUGUGCAUGUGUGUGUGUGUGCAUGUGUGUGCACAUGGGUGGAUGUUCAGAUCGAUAUAUGCAUCACAGUAGGUAUGUAUGUGCAUGUGUUAAGGGUGGAUGCACAUAUCACUGUGUGUGUGUGUGCAUGUGUGUGUGUAUGUGUGUUUGGGUACAUGCAAACAUCACAGUACGUGUGCUUGUGUACCUGUGAACUUCUCAUUUAACCUGAAGGCUUCCAUGGCCCUCUGACACAGCAACCUGGUGCCCAAUGACAAUUAGCUAGAACUGUAAUGGAUCAAAAGCCUGCCUUACUGUCCCUACCUCAGGCAUUUCUUUGUCCUUUUCCAUGGGGAAUUUCAAUCUCCAAUGCCUUCCAAAGAGAGAAUCUGUAGUCCCCCUCAGUCAUCAAACCAGGCAAGAAAGCUCCUUAGGAAUGACAGGGUCAGUGCCACCCUCUGACUCCCACACAGCACAGCUCACAACCCGGAACCAGUGUCCCUUCAAAGUAAGAGCGAUGGUGCCCAGGAGGGCAAGAGAGAACCCUGUGUAGCCCCUGGCUAAGCUGCCUCUACCACAUCUGGCCUUGGCAGGAGGGGGGGUCCUCCUGGGGCAGAGAUGGAGGCCAGGAAUCCAUACUCGGGGCUGUUGGCCUGGAAGCAGAGCUGACUUCCGUCUUCCACGGAGCCCUUCAGCCAGAGUUUAGCACUGUGCUCCCAAGAGUAGCCUAUCCCUAGAGAAGCCUGAAACAAGAGCCGUGCUCUAAACCCAGAGCCCAGCCCCUGAGGGUGUGGGCUUCAAGCCACCCUAAGUGCCAACCACCUGUUCUAGCCCUCUUGGAGUAAUCUGUUUGCAGAAAUCACGAUCAAGGCUGAGGCAGAGGGGUGUCUGGGAGCCCAAAACCCCAAGGGUUUAGGAUGGUUAGGGUUAAUUGGUAACUUGACUGAAUCCCCUGGGAGAUGGGCCUCUGGACACGCCUGUGGGGGAUGCCUUAGUUGAUGUAGGAAGGCCCGUCCAUUGUGGGCGGUGCCAUUUUCUUGCUGGAUUCAUUAUGUAAAUGAAGGAGGGAGUUGGUUGGCAGUAAGUGUUGCUCUGUUACCUGACUGUGGUUAGGAAAGGAAGAAGUGCCCACCGCCUUGGGCUCCCAGCUAUGGUGCGUUGGACCUGUAGUUGGAGUAAGCCCUUUCUCCUUUAAGUUGCUUUUGCCAGAGGAUUUUUAUCACAGCAACAUUUAUCUUUAAAAAAUGAAGGACUGCGGGGUUGGGGAUCUAGCUCAGUGGUAGAGCGCUUGCCUAGCAAGCACAAGGCCCUGGGUUCAGUCCCCAGCUCCGAAAAAAAGAAAAGAAAAAAAAAUUAAGGACUGAAGAAGAAAGGGUCAGAGCCCAGCUGCCCAACAUGACCUAGCGCCUUGCCUGUGCAAAGCCAUAGUGGCUGCCUUGCUAAUGUUGCACACCAUGGUAGAGCACAGGCAGGCAGAAGUGAGGUAUGUCCAUCUGCCGGGAAUCUGUGGACCAACCGAUGCACCUUCUCCACAGUUCACGAGGAAGAAGUGUCUACCUGUGGGCCAACAUAGAAUGGUUCUCCUGGAACCCUCAGGAGCCUGAGGCGGGAGAUAGCAAGUUCUAGGCCAGCCUGGAUCACAGAGUGAGACACUGGAGAGAGAGAGAGAGAGAGAGAGAGAGAGAGAGAGAGAGAGAGAAAGAGAGAGAGAGAAACAGAGACAGACAGAGAGAGACACAGAGAGACAGAAGACAGAAAGAGACAGAGAAGAGAGGAGAGACAGAGACAUGACAGAGAGAGACAGAGACACAGAGAGACAGAGACACAGAGAGACAGAAAACAGAAAGAGUCAGAGGAGAGACAGAGACAUGACAGAGAGAGACAGAGACACAGAGAGAGACAGAGACACAGAGAGACAGAAGACAGAAAGAGACAGAGAAGAGAGGAGAGACAGAGACACAGAGAGACAGAGACAUGACAGAGAGACAGAGACAUGACACAGACAGACACAGAGAGAGACAGAGAGCACUGUGGCCGUAUCACUGCACCUUUCCCAACCUGAUCCUCUUUGCAGUUGGUCGGGGAGGGUAGUGGGUAGCGUGGGUAGGACAGAACCAGCCCUUCAUCUGCAGAAAAAUAUCAGGAUUGCUUUCAGCUUUGGGGUGGUCGUGGACAAAGCCACUCUGAGCAGGCUCUGUAUGAACACAGGUCUUCACAGUUCCCUGGGAUAAAUGCCCAGAAAUGAACUCAGUUGUCCAUAGGAAGGGGUACAUUUGGUUUCCUAGGAAAACCCCAAACCCAUGCAGGGUGACUGCCCCAUUCCACAGCAGCUAGAAUGGCCUGGCUUCUGGUGUCGUUCCCCACACUGAGGGCCCACGCACAGUGUGAGACCCCCCUGCAGUAUAAGUGGCUAAUGCUGUUCCUCACUUGUCUCUCGAGAUCCGUCUGGCAAAAAGCCCGCUUGUGUCUUUUGCCUAAGUUCCCAUUGCAUUGUUUGGUUUUGACCACUGAGUUGUGAGAGCUCUCUGUGGACCGUAAGCGCCAGUCCUUUGCCGGAUGCGUGGUUUGCAAACAUGUUCUCCCAGUCUGGAGCACGUCCUUUUAGCCCUUGGGCAAGAUGUGUCCACCGACUAGUGCGCCUGCCUUUUACUUUUGCGGCUCAUGCUUCUGGUGUUACUCCUGAAACCUUUUCCCCUGACGUCGGGGCCUAAGGAGUUUCUAUUUCCCUACGUGUUUUGUAGUUUGGGGGUUACGGUUAACCUGUGACCCAGGGUCAGUUUGUUUCAGUAGCAGCUUUGAGGCUCAAGCCAAGGGUCAUUUUUCAGCCUCAACUUUGCCCCGGCAACACGUAACUCUCCUCCACUGCGUAAUGUUUUUGUCCUUUUGUCAGCAAAUCAGCUGGGCACAGGCCGGGCCUCUGCCUCUCUAAUAAGGCCACACAGCCGUGAUGACUAUGCCUUUCCCAUAAGCUGUGACGUGGAAAGCCUCUUACUCGAGCCCCGUGAAUGGAAACUUACACCUGCUCCCAUGUGGGGAAUUAGGAACGUUCUGGUAGCCGGUGCCUCUUGGACAGCUGCCAGUUAGCAGACACUCGGAUGCAGAGCCCUGGCGCGCAGGAGAUGCCAGUCGAAUGGUGAAAUGGGACCAGCCUGGGACCAAGGCACCCCGAAGUAGAAUCCCCAAGGAGUCACGAGACCCUGAUGCAGACAGUCCGUCUGACUGAGUGGGAUCCAGUUGAUGGUAUCUGAUCCCUGCCUCUCGAGAGUCAAGAUGGUGAGCGACCGGCUAUGGAGCCCCUUUCUUGUAAUAGUUAAACGCCAAUUCGCUGCUCUGCCCUAUAAAUAUCCACAGGUUCCUAUGUUGAA